CGGGAGGCAGCAGUGGGGAAUUUUCCGCAAUGGGCGAAAGCCUGACGGAGCAACGCCGCGUGAGGGAUGAAGGCCUCUGGGCUGUAAACCUCUUUUAUCAAGGAAGAAGAUCUGACGGUACUUGAUGAAUAAGCCACGGCUAAUUCCGUGCCAGCAGCCGCGGUAAUACGGGAGUGGCAAGCGUUAUCCGGAAUUAUUGGGCGUAAAGCGUCCGCAGGCGGUCUUGUAAGUCUGUUGUUAAAGCGUGGAGCUUAACUCCAUUUCAGCAAUGGAAACUGUAAGACUAGAGUGUGGUAGGGGCAGAGGGAAUUCCCGGUGUAGCGGUGAAAUGCGUAGAUAUCGGGAAGAACACCAGUGGCGAAGGCGCUCUGCUGGGCCAUAACUGACGCUCAUGGACGAAAGCCAGGGGAGCGAAAGGGAUUAGAUACCCCUGUAGUCCUGGCCGUAAACGAUGAACACUAGGUGUCGGGGGAAUCGACCCCUCCGGUGUCGUAGCCAACGCGUUAAGUGUUCCGCCUGGGGAGUACGCACGCAAGUGUGAAACUCAAAUGAAUUGACGG
rnacentral:rRNA from 1 species